rnacentral:lncRNA from 1 species
GGUACAGAGGACAUCGCAUUCAUUCCAGCCACGUUCUUACCAGAUGUGCAGAGAGCCUGGUGAGGCUGGAGAGGCGGAGGGUGAGAAAGGGAAGUGACUCGUCCACGCUCACCCGUUUUCGUCGCCUCCUGUGAUGGCACUGGAGUC